AGUGAACGCUGGCGGUAGGCCUAACACAUGCAAGUCGAACGGCAGCACAGGAGAGCUUGCUCUCUGGGUGGCGAGUGGCGGACGGGUGAGGAAUACAUCGGAAUCUGCCCAGUCGUGGGGGAUAACGUAGGGAAACUUACGCUAAUACCGCAUACGACCUUCGGGUGAAGGAGGGGGAUCGCAAGACCUCUCGCGAUUGGAUGAGCCGAUGUCGGAUUAGCUAGUUGGCGGGGUAAUGGCCCACCAAGGCGACGAUCCGUAGCUGGUCUGAGAGGAUGAUCAGCCACACUGGAACUGAGACACGGUCCAGACUCCUACGGGAGGCAGCAGUGGGGAAUAUUGGACAAUGGGCGCAAGCCUGAUCCAGCCAUACCGCGUGGGUGAAGAAGGCCUUCGGGUUGUAAAGCCCUUUUGUUGGGAAAGAAAUCUUUCAGGCUAAUACCCUGGGAGGAUGACGGUACCCAAAGAAUAAGCACCGGCUAACUUCGUG
rnacentral:rRNA from 1 species